CUUUGGCUUUGGCUGCCGCGAGGCCUUGGAUUGCUCCUGCCGCCGCUGAUGCUGAGGUCAAGCUCCUGCUGCUCAUCCGAGGACCCUCCUCCUCCUGCUCCUCUUCUGCUGGGCUCGUCAAGAAACUGCAGGAACUCCUCGCAGCUGGCGCUGCCGCCGCCUCCUCUGUCGUUGUAGCCUCUGCUGGGAGUGGGAGUGGGAGGCGGAGCGGACGAGAGGCCGAUGGACAGCAGGUCCUGGUCCCUCUCCCUCUGGCACCGAGACCCCUCGCACGCGGUCAGGCAGCUGUCCACCGACCCGUCGCCUCCGAGGUGGUGCUGCUGGUGGAGGUGCUCCUGCUGGACAUUGCCGCGCCUCGUCGCCGUGGCUCUCGAGAUGAGAUCCGGCAGCAGCAACUGCUGCUGCUGCUGCGUCGUCGUCGUCGUCUCGUCAGCGCCGCCGCUCUGCUUGGCCAGCGCCUCCUGCGCCUUCUCCAGCACGGACUGCAAGUACUUGCCCUGCGCUUCGAUCCGCAGCUGCAGGUGUCUCUGAACCUGCACCAUCAAUGGGAAAAAUG
rnacentral:misc_RNA from 1 species